GGUGGCUCAGUGGUAGAGUGCUUACCUUGCAUGUAACAGGCCCUGGGUUGGAUUUCUCAGCACCA
rnacentral:tRNA from 1 species